GACAGAGGGUGCGAGCGUUGUUCGGAAUUACUGGGCGUAAAGGGCGCGUAGGCGGUCUGUUAAGUUCGGUGUGAAAGCCCUCGGCUCACCCGAGGAAGUGCGCCGGAUACUGACAGACUUGAGUACCGGAGAGGAGGGUGGAAUUCCUGGUGUAGCGGUGAAAUGCGUAGAUAUCAGGAGGAACACCGGUGGCGAAGGCGGCCCUCUGGACGAGUACUGACGCUGAGGCGCGAAAGCGUGGGGAUCAAACAGGAUUAGAAACCCCCGUAGUCC
rnacentral:rRNA from 1 species